AUACCUACGGGAGGCAGCAGUCGGGAAUAUUGCGCAAUGGAGGAAACUCUGACGCAGUGACGCCGCGUAUAGGAAGAAGGUUUUCGGAUUGUAAACCUUUGUUUUUGGUGACGAAAGAAAUGACGGUAGCCAAAGAGGAAGCUCCGGCUAACUACGUGCCAGCAGCCGCGGUAAUACGUAGGGAGCGAGCGUUGUCCGGAAUUACUGGGUGUAAAGGGUGCGCAGGCGGGACAUUAAGUUGGAUGUGAAAUGCCGGGGCUCAACCCCGGAGCUGCAUCCAAAACUGAAGUUCUUGAGUGAAGUAG
rnacentral:rRNA from 1 species